UACAGAGGGGGCAAGCGUUGUUCGGAAUUACUGGGCGUAAAGGGCGCGUAGGCGGCCACCUAAGUCAGACGUGAAAUCCCUCGGCUUAACCGGGGAACUGCGUCUGAUACUGGAUGGCUUGAGUUCGGGAGAGGGAUGCGGAAUUCCAGGUGUAGCGGUGAAUGCGUAGAUAUCUGGAGGAACACCGGUGGCGAAGGCGGCAUCCUGGACCGACACUGACACUGAGGAGCGAAAGCCAGGGGAGCAAACGGG
rnacentral:rRNA from 1 species